rnacentral:rRNA from 1 species
AGAGUUUGAUCCUGGCUCAGGAUGAACGCUGGCGGCGUGCUUAACACAUGCAAGUCGAACGGAGGAUGUACGGUGAAGAGAUUUCGGUCAAAUCAUGUGCAUCUUUAGUGGCGGACGGGUGAGUAACGCGUGGGUAACCUGCCUUACACAGGGGGAUAACACUUAGAAAUAGGUGCUAAUACCGCAUGAGCGCACAGGAUCGCAUGGUCGAGUGUGAAAAACUGAGGUGGUGUAAGAUGGACCCGCGUCUGAUUAGCUAGUUGGUGAGGUAACGGCCCACCAAGGCGACGAUCAGUAGCCGGCCUGAGAGGGUGGACGGCCACAUUGGGACUGAGACACGGACCAAACUCCUACGGGAGGCAGCAGUGGGGGAUAUUGGACAAUGGGGGGAACCCUGAUCCAGCGACGCCGCGUGAGUGAAGAAGUAUCUCGGUAUGCAAAGCUCUAUCAGCAGGGAAGAAAUAGCGACCUUUGGGUCGCCAGACGGUACCUGAUUAAGAAGCCCCGGCUAACUACGUGCCAGCAGCCGCGGUAAUACGUAGGGGGCAAGCGUUAUCCGGAUUUACUGGGUGUAAAGGGAGCGUAGACGGCAGCGCAAGUCUGAAGUGAAAUGCCGGGGCUUAACCCCGGAACUGCUUUGGAAACUGUGCAGCUAGAGUGCAGGAGAGGUAAGUGGAAUUCCUAGUGUAGCGGUGAAAUGCGUAGAUAUUAGGAGGAACACCAGUGGCGAAGGCGGCUUACUGGACUGUAACUGACGUUGAGGCUCGAAAGCGUGGGGAGCAAACAGGAUUAGAUACCCUGGUAGUCCACGCUGUAAACGAUGAUUACUAGGUGUUGGGGGACCAAGGUCCUUCGGUGCCGUCGCAAACGCAUUAAGUAAUCCACCUGGGGAGUACGUUCGCAAGAAUGAAACUCAAAGGAAUUGACGGGGACCCGCACAAGCGGUGGAGCAUGUGGUUUAAUUCGAAGCAACGCGAAGAACCUUACCUGGUCUUGACAUCCCGAUGACGAGUGAGCAAAGUCACUUUCCCUUCGGGGCAUUGGAGACAGGUGGUGCAUGGUUGUCGUCAGCUCGUGUCGUGAGAUGUUGGGUUAAGUCCAGCAACGAGCGCAACCCCUGUUGCCAGUUACCAGCACGUGAAGGUGGGGACUCUGGCGAGACUGCCAAGAUCAACUGGGAGGAAGGUGGGGACGACGUCAGGUCAGUAUGGCCCUUAUGCCCAGGGCUGCACACGUACUACAAUGCCCAGUACAGAGGGGGCCGAAGCCGCGAGGCGGAGGAAAUCCUAAAAACUGGGCCCAGUUCGGACUGUAGGCUGCAACCCGCCUACACGAAGCCGGAAUCGCUAGUAAUGGCGCAUCAGCUACGGCGCCGUGAAUACGUUCUCCGGGUCUUGCACUCACCGCCCGUCA